rnacentral:rRNA from 1 species
CACGUAGGGUGCGAGCGUUGUCCGGAAUUAUUGGGCGUAAAGAGCUCGUAGGCGGUCUGUCGCGUCGGCUGUGAAAACUCGGGGCUCAACUCCGAGCUUGCAGUCGAUACGGGCAGGCUAGAGUUCGGCAGGGGAGACUGGAAUUCCUGGUGUAGCGGUGAAAUGCGCAGAUAUCAGGAGGAACACCGGUGGCGAAGGCGGGUCUCUGGGCCGAUACUGACGCUGAGGAGCGAAAGCGUGGGGAGCGAACAGG